AUGCUCAUUUCAGCAGCACAUAUUCUAGAAUUGGAAUGAUACAGAGAAGAUUAGCUUGGCCCCUGUGUAAGGAUGACAUGCAAACUUGUGAAGCAUUCCAUAUUUUA